rnacentral:tRNA from 1 species
UCCACCAUGGCGCAAUUGGCUAGCGCGUCAGACUGUUAAUCUGGAGGCUCACAGUUCGACCCUGUGUGGUGGAG